rnacentral:lncRNA from 1 species
UUUUCAAGUUCUAAGUUCCAAGUUCUAGGGAAUCACAGGAAAACCCCCCUCUGACACUAAAGCAUUAGAAUUGUAAAAAUAAAUACCAAGUAGACCUACAACAGUGGAAGUGUCAAAUACACUUAGCAUAGCACUCCAAAUAUUCAUUAUUUAAUACAUGAUUACUUCACUUGUAAUCUCCACACCAUCUUCUAUUGAUAUCUUGAUAUACUGUCUUAUCUACAUUUCUACAAGCAAGCAAGAUCCAUUUUGCAUUUGUAUAUGUUCCCUCAUCUUUGAAGACGGACCUAACAUUUUAAAUUAUUCCUGCAUUUAGAAUGUAACAUUAUUU